rnacentral:rRNA from 1 species
CCUACGGGUGGCAGCAGUGGGGAAUAUUGCACAAUGGGGGAAACCCUGAUGCAGCGACGCCGCGUGAGUGAAGAAGUAUUUCGGUACGUAAAGCUCUAUCAGCAGGGAAGAAAAUGACGGUACCUGACUAAGAAGCUCCGGCUAACUACGUGCCAGCAGCCGCGGUAAUACGUAGGCGGCAAGCGUUAUCCGGAUUUACUGGGUGUAAAGGGAGGGUAGACGGCCGCGAAAGUCCGGAGUGAAAUCCCUGGGCUUAACCAUGGAACUGCAUUGGAAACUGUGCAGCUAGAGUGUAGGAGAGGUAAGCGGAAUGCGUGGUGUAGCGGUGAAAUGCGUAGAUAUUAGGAGGAACACC